CCCUGAAAGUGAUGGUGAUGAAGGUGCUCCUGGAGGUGAUGAUGAAAGAGGUGUUCCCUGGAGGUAAUGGAGGUGCUCUCUGGAGGUGACGGUUAAGGAAGUGCUCCUGGAGGUGAUGAUGAAAGAGAUGCUCCCUGGAGGUGAUGGAGGUGCUCCCUAGAGGUGACGGUGAUGGAGCUGCUCCCUGGAGGUGACAGCUAAGGAGGUACUCCUGGAGGUGAUGGUGAAGGAGGUGCUCCUGGAGGUGACAGUGAAGGAGGUGCUCCCUGGAGGUGAUGGAGGUGCUCCCUGGAGGUGAUGGAGGUGCUGCUGGAAGUGAUGGUGAAGGAGAUGCUCCCUGGAGGUGAUGGUGAAGGAGGUGCUCCUAGAAGUGACGGUGAAGGAGGUGCUCCCUGGAGGUGAUGGUGAGGGAGGUGCUCCUGGAAGUGACAGUGAAGGAGGUGCUCCCUGGAGGUGAUGGUGAAGGAGGUGCUCCCUGGAGGUGAAGGUGAUGGAGGUGCUCCCUGGAGGAGAUGGAAGUGCUCCUGGAGGUGACAGUGAAGGAGGUGCUCCCUCAAGGUCAUGGAGAUGCUCCUGGAAGUGACGAUGAAGGAGGUGCUCCCUGGAGGUGACAGUGAUGGAGGCGCUCCCUGGAGGUGAUGGUGAAGGAGGUGCUCCUGGAUGUGAUGGUGAUGGAGGUGUGGAGGUGCUCCCUGGAGGUGAUGGAAGUGCUCCUGGAGGCGACGGUGAAGGAGGUGCUCCCUGGAGGUGAUGGAGGUGCUCCUGGAGGUGAUGGAGGUGAUGGUGAAGGAGGUGCUCUCUGGAGGUGAUAGUGAUGGAGGUGCUUCCUGGAGGUGGUGGUGAAUACGGUGCUCCCUAGAGGUGACAGUGAAGGAGGUGCUCCCUGGAGAAGCCGAAGGCAGGCCUUGUCCCUCUAGCUACUUGGAGCCCCUAACACUGUCCUCAGUGCCGAUGCUUUUGGUUGCUACCGGGCACUUUCUUUAGGACACAGGCUGAGGAGGGACAGGGAUGGUGUCCCAGCAGCGUGAGCAUCUCCCAGUAGCAAAGGUGACAAACCAUUUCAGCUGGAGACGGAGAUGAAGCUGCAUAUUUAAGGCCAAGGAGUCUGUGCUGUGUCGGGGGCACUCGCCCCUGCUGAGGAGCCACUGCUGAACCUGGGGCUUAGAGAUGAGCCCUGAACCCAGCUCCAAAGUCUGCAGGCUCCACGUGCUGCUGGGCCCCCAACAAUGACAGGGCAGGAGCUUGGCUAUAGCCGCUCAACGAGUGUGCGUGGCCUGGGACCAUUCUAACAAACCAGGGGCUUAAAACAACAGAGGGUGCAUCUCAUGGUUCUGGAAGCCGGCAUCUGAGGUCAAGGCGUCCGUGAGGCCAUGCCCCUCCAAGGUGUGGAAGGCUCUUGGGGACCUCUCCUCACCUCACGACCCUCCCUGCAUGCCUCACCUGCAGACGCCUCACUCCACUCUCUGCCUCUGUCACAUGGCCUCCAUCCAAGGACCUGAAGCAGUGAUUGGGGCCCCCAACUCCAGGAUGACUUCAUCUGAGCCCAAAUCCAUCUGCAAAGACCCUCCUCCCAAACAGGGCGGCCCUUGUGGGGCCUGGGUUGGACUCAACCCUUCUUUUUGGAGACAAAAUUCAACCCCAAACACUAGACCGGUGGGAUUCCUACAACAACCCCAUCCGGGAAAGGCCAUGCCCUGCCCAGGGCCGAGAGCCAGCUCAGACUGGCCUCCAGCAAGGGCUGGACACAUGGCUCUCACAUCACCUCUAGUCCAAAACACGUGCUCCUUUCCCUCCAGCCAUUCCCUGGAAUCACCCCCCACCGCCCCCCACAGCUGUGACUCAGCUGUGAAGCCAG
rnacentral:lncRNA from 10 species